CCUACGGGAGACAGCAGUAGGGAAUAUUGCUCAAUGGGGGAAACCCUGAAGCAGCAACGCCGCGGGGAGGAUGAAGGUUUUCGGAUGGUAAACUCCUGUUGUUAGAGAAGAGAAUGACGGUAUCUAACGAAUAAGCACUGGCUAACGCCGUGCCAGCAGCCGCGGUAAUACGGAGGGUGCAAGCGUUACGCGGAAUCACUGGGCGUAAAGAGCGCGUAGGCGGGAUAGCAAGUCAGAUGUGAAAUCCUAUGGCUUAACCAUAGAACUGCAUUUGAAACUGUUAUUCUAGAGUAUGGGAGAGGUAGGUGUACUUCUUGGUGUCGUGGUCCCAUCCGUAGAGAUCACGAGGAAUACUCAUUGCGAAGGCGACCUGCUAGACCAUACCUGCCGCUGAUGCGCGACAGCGUG
rnacentral:rRNA from 1 species